GGCAGUAUGGUGGCAGUGGUUAGUACCCUCCUUGUGGCUGAUGCCUCCAAGGAGUCCUUGGUUCAACUCCAAGACUGCCA